UUGACCUCGAAUCAGGUAGGAAUACCCGCUGAACUUAAGCAUAUCAAUAAGCGGAGGAAAAGAAACCAACAGGGAUUGCCCCAGUAACGGCGAGUGAAGCGGCAACAGCUCAAAUUUGAAAUCUGGCCCCCCGGGGCCCGAGUUGUAAUUUGCAGAGGAUGCUUUUGGCGAGGCGCCUUCCGAGUUCCCUGGAACGGGACGCCAUAGAGGGUGAGAGCCCCGUCUGGUUGGACGCCGAGCCUCUGUAAAGCUCCUUCGACGAGUCGAGUAGUUUAGGAAUGCUGCUCUAAAUGGGAGGUAUAUGUCUUCUAAAGCUAAAUACCGGCCAGAGACCGAUAGCGCACAAGUAGAGUGAUCGAAAGAUGAAAAGCACUUUGAAAAGAGGGUUAAACAGUACGUGAAAUUGUUGAAAGGGAAGCGCUUGCGACCAGACUUGGGCCCGGCGGAUCAUCCAGCGUUCUCGCUGGUGCACUCCGGCGGGCCCAGGCCAGCAUCAGCUCGCCCCGGGGGACAAAGGCGGGGGGAACGUGGCUCCUCCGGGAGUGUUAUAGCCCACCGCGCAAUGCCCUGGGGCGGGCUGAGGACCGCGCGUUUACGCAUGGAUGCUGGCGUAAUGGUCGCCAGCGACCCGUCUUGAAACACGGACCAA
rnacentral:rRNA from 1 species